UACGGGGGGGGCAAGCGUUGUUCGGAAUUACUGGGCGUAAAGGGUUUGUAGGUGGCUUGCUAAGUCAGACGUGAAAUCCCUCAGCUUAACUGAGGAACUGCGUCUGAGACUGGCAAGCUUGAGUGCAGGAGAGGAACGCGGAAUUCCAGGUGUAGCGGUGAAAUGCGUAGAUAUCGGGAGGAACACCUGUGGCGAAGGCGGCCCCCUGGUUGGAUACUGACGCUGAGACGCGAAAGCGUGGGGAGCAAACAGG
rnacentral:rRNA from 1 species